rnacentral:rRNA from 1 species
AUUGAACGCUGGCGGCAGGCCUAACACAUGCAAGUCGAGCGGAAACGAGUUGUCUGAACCUUCGGGGAACGAUAACGGCGUCGAGCGGCGGACGGGUGAGUAAUGCCUAGGAAAUUGCCCUGAUGUGGGGGAUAACCAUUGGAAACGAUGGCUAAUACCGCAUGAUGCCUACGGGCCAAAGAGGGGGACCUUCGGGCCUCUCGCGUCAGGAUAUGCCUAGGUGGGAUUAGCUAGUUGGUGAGGUAAGGGCUCACCAAGGCGACGAUCCCUAGCUGGUCUGAGAGGAUGAUCAGCCACACUGGAACUGAGACACGGUCCAGACUCCUACGGGAGGCAGCAGUGGGGAAUAUUGCACAAUGGGCGCAAGCCUGAUGCAGCCAUGCCGCGUGUGUGAAGAAGGCCUUCGGGUUGUAAAGCACUUUCAGUCGUGAGGAAGGUUCAUGCGUUAAUAGCGUAUGGAUUUGACGUUAGCGACAGAAGAAGCACCGGCUAACUCCGUGCCAGCAGCCGCGGUAAUACGGAGGGUGCGAGCGUUAAUCGGAAUUACUGGGCGUAAAGCGCAUGCAGGUGGUUUGUUAAGUCAGAUGUGAAAGCCCGGGGCUCAACCUCGGAAUUGCAUUUGAAACUGGCAGACUAGAGUACUGUAGAGGGGGGUAGAAUUUCAGGUGUAGCGGUGAAAUGCGUAGAGAUCUGAAGGAAUACCGGUGGCGAAGGCGGCCCCCUGGACAGAUACUGACACUCAGAUGCGAAAGCGUGGGGAGCAAACAAG